UUGCAGGUCCAGCAUGGAUGCAAUGGCCUUCUGUGAUGCCGAGACAUUGCUGUGUUCCCUGUUGCUGCUUGUUGCUGCCUGUAGCAAGAUUGUGGUGGGUUAGAAUCCUACCAGCGGCUCGUGAGGGCACUUGGCAGUGGUGUUGCUCGUCGCUGGUUGGCCUGGGCAUUCGUGUUCGUCCAUGCACGUACCAGCAGACAUAUGUCGGCACAGUUCCCCUAGAAGUCGGCCCAGGACGCACAUUUCCCUAGGGUGUCAGUCGUGACGUUGCCCACAUACGUGAGGCCGACAACGGCAAGCCCUUUCACCAUCACCACCACCACCACCACCAGCAGACAUUGAAACUGUGUCCUAAGGCAGAAGUCACCUUACGCUCCAGGCCGAUGCUAUGAAACUUGCUGCGAAAAGUUGCGAUGCUGUAUCGCAGAGUGCUGCAACGAUGGACCGGACGGUGAAGGUGGGCGGAACAUGAGGAUCCAGCGCGAACUUCUGAACGAACAUCUCAAUGAACGUGAUGUAUCUAGUAGUGCUUUUUUACGGUUGGGAGAUACUUCCCCUUUUUCUUCCCAUAAAGGGACCAGUGCAACAAACGCGAACGCCUUCGAAAUAUUAGACACAUGACUGCGCACAGAUCGGGACUGGUUAAUAGUCCUGAGGCGAGUUCGACGUGAUUGUCUACUUUCGAUUCACAUCUUCGUUGGUUGGUUGGUUGGCUGGUUGGGUAUUCCUUUGUUUGUCGCUUUUUGGUUCUUUUGUGACGGUCCUUGAUUCUCCUUUGGUUAUCUCGUUCGCCCUCAUCUUUUCUCCUCCAUUUUUGGUGUUUGUAGUCCGUUAGGAGGUUGGUGGCUUGUAUAGUGCAUCGAAUGGUAUCUGGUAUAGCACGAUCGAUUAAACAAUGCGCUUUCCAUGCGUGCGUUGCUUUGUUCACCCGAUGAAGCUAUUGUUUCGUCGGAGCUUAACACAACGCAAACAACACAAACCCAGUCACACACUCUCAUUUCCUGUAUCUGUUUUGAAGUUCGUAAUUUAGUGUU